rnacentral:lncRNA from 1 species
CCAGAACAGAGCACCACCACCGUAGCGUUCUAAGCUCAUUCUAAGCUCAUCUUAUCAAUGACAUGAGGAAACACAUUAUUCAUUCAUGUAUGAGGGAGUGCUUUCCAAUUGAAGACACUGCUUUGAAAGAGACUGCCAAAUUGGUUUCAUUGAGAAGGAAUGAAAGAAGCUAAAAGGUUUUCACUUGAGAUUUGACAAUAGCCAGAAAACCUCUGUCAAUAAUGAAUGUUAAGUGAUAACAUUUAAUUAGCAUGGGUUAUAAAUAGAAAGACUAUUGCUUGGAAUUAACGUAGGCACAAUCUUAAAUUUCUGUAUAGCUGUUGGCUGUUUCUUUUGCAGUUUCUCCUAAAAAUGGGACAAUUACAUCUCACAACCAUUUUUUCCUCUUUUCAGAGAUAUUUUAUUUGGUUGAGAACUGGGUUUUAUUUUGGCUCUUGCCAUCUUCAACAGCUGUUUCUCAGUUAAGUGGACUGAGGUGAUGUUGAGGAGGUGCUAAUGAGUCUACUGGCAUCCAUUCCUGUGCCUUUUGGUGCUUCUGUAUAUGAAAGUCAGUUUGAUUGUGAACAAGGGGUUAUGCAGGACUGUGCAGAGAAAGAAAAAAAAAGGACAUGAUAAUACCUCAGACCAUUCAUUGUAAACAAAGAUUUUGCAACAGCUUUGCUUACAACACAUUAUAGCUGAAUACAAGGGAAAGUUUUUCAGAGCCCUCCCCCCCCCAAAAUUAAUAGUAUUGGCACAUUAGGAAGGUUCUCCAGAGAAGCAGAACCAAUCAGAUGUUCUCUUUUCCUUGGGGAACCUCUGUCUUUUUCCAUAUAAGGCCUUCAACUGAUUGGUUGAGGCCCACGCACCUUAUGGAAGUAAUUUGCUUUACUCAAAAUCUACUGAUUUAAAUGUUAAUCUCAUCUGAAAAUUGUCUUCACAGCAACAUCCAGAUAAGUUUGACUAAAUAUCUUGAUUCUAUGGCAUCACCAAGGUGACCAAAUAUUCAAUGAGCUAUCCCACAGGGCCAUUCUGAGAGCUGGAAAUGGAAUUGAUUUGUUACAAAAUCUUCAGACUUUGAAUGGUGUGUUUUGACAAAGAAAUAAGGACCAAAAUGCUUUCAGUGUCACUGCCAUGCUGGUAGAAACCCUCCCUGAGAGUGAGCUUCAUACUCUAUUCCAGCCACAAGUCUCUAGCAGAGCAGUGCAGUAAUAAAGCCAGCAAGCUUUGAUGUCACAUCACUGAAGUCUGAAU